rnacentral:rRNA from 2 species
GGUUAAGCGACUAAGCGUACACGGUGGAUGCCCUGGCAGUCAGAGGCGAUGAAGGACGUGCUAAUCUGCGAAAAGCGUCGGUAAGGUGAUAUGAACCGUUAUAACCGGCGAUGUCCGAAUGGGGAAACCCAGUGCAAUUCGUUGCACUAUCGUUAACUGAAUACAUAGGUUAACGAGGCGAACCGGGGGAACUGAAACAUCUAAGUACCCCGAGGAAAAGAAAUCAACCGAGAUUCCCCCAGUAGCGGCGAGCGAACGGGGAGCAGCCCAGAGUCUGAAUCAGCUUGUGUGUUAGUGGAACGGUCUGGAAAGUCCGACGGUACAGGGUGAUAGUCCCGUACACCAAAAUGCACAGGCUGUGAACUCGAAGAGUAGGGCGGGACACGUGGUAUCCUGUCUGAAUAUGGGGGGACCAUCCUCCAAGGCUAAAUACUCCUGACUGACCGAUAGUGAACCAGUACCGUGAGGGAAAGGCGAAAAGAACCCCGGCGAGGGGAGUGAAAAAGAACCUGAAACCGUGUACGUACAAGCAGUGGGAGCACCUUCGGGUGUGACUGCGUACCUUUUGUAUAAUGGGUCAGCGACUUAUAUUCUGUAGCAAGGUUAACCGUAUAGGGGAGCCGCAGGGAAACCGAGUCUUAACUGGGCGUUAAGUUGCAGGGUAUAGACCCGAAACCCGGUGAUCUAGCCAUGGGCAGGUUGAAGGUUGGGUAACACUAACUGGAGGACCGAACCGACUAAUGUUGAAAAAUUAGCGGAUGACUUGUGGCUGGGGGUGAAAGGCCAAUCAAACCGGGAGAUAGCUGGUUCUCCCCGAAAGCUAUUUAGGUAGCGCCUCGUGAACUCAUCUUCGGGGGUAGAGCACUGUUUCGGCUAGGGGGUCAUCCCGACUUACCAACCCGAUGCAAACUACGAAUACCGAAGAAUGUUAUCACGGGAGACACACGGCGGGUGCUAACGUCCGUCGUGAAGAGGGAAACAACCCAGACCGCCAGCUAAGGUCCCAAAGUCAUGGUUAAGUGGGAAACGAUGUGGGAAGGCACAGACAGCCAGGAUGUUGGCUUAGAAGCAGCCAUCAUUUAAAGAAAGCGUAAUAGCUCACUGGUCGAGUCGGCCUGCGCGGAAGAUGUAACGGGGCUAAACCAUGCACCGAAGCUGCGGCAGCGACACUAUGUGUUGUUGGGUAGGGGAGCGUUCUGUAAGCCUGCGAAGGUGACCUGUGAGGGUUGCUGGAGGUAUCAGAAGUGCGAAUGCUGACAUAAGUAACGAUAAAGCGGGUGAAAAGCCCGCUCGCCGGAAGACCAAGGGUUCCUGUCCAACGUUAAUCGGGGCAGGGUGAGUCGACCCCUAAGGCGAGGCCGAAAGGCGUAGUCGAUGGGAAACAGGUUAAUAUUCCUGUACUUGGUGUUACUGCGAAGGGGGGACGGAGAAGGCUAUGUUAGCCGGGCGACGGUUGUCCCGGUUUAAGCAUGUAGGCUGGUUAUCCAGGCAAAUCCGGAUAAUCAAGGCUGAGGUGUGAUGACGAGGCACUACGGUGCUGAAGUAACAAAUGCCCUGCUUCCAGGAAAAGCCUCUAAGCAUCAGGUAACAUCAAAUCGUACCCCAAACCGACACAGGUGGUCAGGUAGAGAAUACCAAGGCGCUUGAGAGAACUCGGGUGAAGGAACUAGGCAAAAUGGUGCCGUAACUUCGGGAGAAGGCACGCUGGUGUGUAGGUGAAGUCCCUGCGGAUGGAGCUGAGACCAGUCGAAGAUACCAGCUGGCUGCAACUGUUUAUUAAAAACACAGCACUGUGCAAACACGAAAGUGGACGUAUACGGUGUGACGCCUGCCCGGUGCCGGAAGGUUAAUUGAUGGGGUUAUCCGUAAGGAGAAGCUCUUGAUCGAAGCCCCGGUAAACGGCGGCCGUAACUAUAACGGUCCUAAGGUAGCGAAAUUCCUUGUCGGGUAAGUUCCGACCUGCACGAAUGGCGUAAUGAUGGCCAGGCUGUCUCCACCCGAGACUCAGUGAAAUUGAACUCGCUGUGAAGAUGCAGUGUACCCGCGGCAAGACGGAAAGACCCCGUGAACCUUUACUAUAGCUUGACACUGAACAUUGAGCCUUGAUGUGUAGGAUAGGUGGGAGGCUUUGAAGCGUGGACGCCAGUCUGCGUGGAGCCAACCUUGAAAUACCACCCUUUAAUGUUUGAUGUUCUAACGUUGGCCCCUGACCGGGGUUGCGGACAGUGUCUGGUGGGUAGUUUGACUGGGGCGGUCUCCUCCCAAAGCGUAACGGAGGAGCACGAAGGUUAGCUAAUCCUGGUCGGACAUCAGGAGGUUAGUGCAAUGGCAUAAGCUAGCUUGACUGCGAGCGUGACGGCGCGAGCAGGUGCGAAAGCAGGUCAUAGUGAUCCGGUGGUUCUGAAUGGAAGGGCCAUCGCUCAACGGAUAAAAGGUACUCCGGGGAUAACAGGCUGAUACCGCCCAAGAGUUCAUAUCGACGGCGGUGUUUGGCACCUCGAUGUCGGCUCAUCACAUCCUGGGGCUGAAGUAGGUCCCAAGGGUAUGGCUGUUCGCCAUUUAAAGUGGUACGCGAGCUGGGUUUAGAACGUCGUGAGACAGUUCGGUCCCUAUCUGCCGUGGGCGCUGGAGAAUUGAGGGGGGCUGCUCCUAGUACGAGAGGACCGGAGUGGACGCAUCACUGGUGUUCGGGUUGUCAUGCCAAUGGCACUGCCCGGUAGCUAAAUGCGGAAGAGAUAAGUGCUGAAAGCAUCUAAGCACGAAACUUGCCCCGAGAUGAGUUCUCCCUGAGACUUUAAGUCUCCUGAAGGAACGUUGAAGACGACGACGUUGAUAGGCCGGGUGUGUAAGCGCAGCGAUGCGUUGAGCUAACCGGUACUAAUGAACCGUGAGGCUUAACCUU